CCUACGGGAGGCAGCAGUGAGGAAUAUUGGUCAAUGGGCGUACGCCUGAACCAGCCAAGUCGCGUGAGGGAAGACUGCCCUAUGGGUUGUAAACCUCUUUUGUCAGGGAGCAACGCCGGCUACGUGUAGCCGGACUGAGAGUACCUGAAGAAAAAGCAUCGGCUAACUCGGUGCCAGCAGCCGCGGUAAUACGGAGGAUGCGAGGGUUAUGCGGAUUUAUUGGGGUUAAAGGGUGCUUAGGGGGAAGGCCAAGUCAGCGGUAAAACCGCGGGGCUCAACCUCGCGCCGCAGUGGAAACUGGCGGUCUGGAGUGGGCGAGAAGUAUGCGGAAUGCGUGGUGUAGCGGUGAAAUGCAUAGAUAUCACGCAGAACUCCGGUGGCGAAGGCAGCAUACCGGCGCCCAACUGACGCUGAAGCACGAAAGCGUGGGUAUCGAACAGGAUUAGAUACCCGAGUAGUC
rnacentral:rRNA from 1 species